UUACUCCUCGGGGGCAGCAGUGGGGAAUUUUGCGCAAUGGGGGAAACCCUGACGCAGCAACGCCGCGUGCGGGACGAAGGCCCUCGGGCUGUAAACCGCUUUCAGCAGGGAAGACGUCGACGGUACCUGCAGAAGAAGCUCCGGCUAACUACGUGCCAGCAGCCGCGGUAAUACGUAGGGGGCGAGCGUUAUCCGGAUUCAUUGGGCGUAAAGCGCGCGUAGGCGGCCGCCUAAGCGGAACCUCUAACCCCGGGGCUCAACCUCGGGCCGGGUUCCGGACUGGGCGGCUCGAGUGCGGUAGAGGG
rnacentral:rRNA from 1 species